CCAGCCAGAGGCAACCCACAUCAGUGGCAACAAUUCUCCCUCCCAUACUGGGGACUCGAUAAACAGACAAAUAGAGAGACACAACAGACCUCAUACCAUACACCCAAAACCUCACCUUGUAGGUCAAAACCCUAGAACACACGCAACACUACACAUGCCUGAUCUGCACUCCAGGACAACACACUCACUGGCUCCCUCUGGACCAGUCAUGCCCGGCUUGAUAGCUGAUACCAUGACUAUAAAAUAAUUCAAAUGUGCAAUGUUUACUAAUGCCAACCUACGGAUGAAAAC